UACAGAGGUCUCAACCGUUGUUCGGAUUCAUUGGGCGUAAAGGGUGCGUAGGCGGUCGCGCAAGUCGGAUGGGAAAUCUCAGGGCUCAACCCUGAAACUGCAUUCGAUACUGCGUGGCUAGAGUGCUGGAGAGGAGACUGGAAUUUACGGUGUAGCAGUGAAAUGCGUAGAUAUCGUAAGGAAGACCAGUGGCGAAGGCGAGUCCCUGGACAGCAACUGACGCUGAGGCACGAAGGCCAGGGGAGCAAACGGG
rnacentral:rRNA from 1 species